GACGUAGGGCGCGAGCGUUGUCCGGAAUUACUGGGCGUAAAGAGCUCGUAGGCGGUUUGUCGCGUCGUCCGUGAAAACUUGGGGCUCAACCCCAAGCUUGCGGGCGAUACGGGCAGACUUGAGUACUGCAGGGGAGACUGGAAUUCCUGGUGUAGCGGUGAAAUGCGCAGAUAUCAGGAGGAACACCGGUGGCGAAGGCGGGUCUCUGGGCAGUAACUGACGCUGAGGAGCGAAAGCGUGGGUAGCAAACAGG
rnacentral:rRNA from 1 species